rnacentral:tRNA from 1 species
GGCAAGAUAGUUUAAUUUAAAAUACUUAUUUUACACGUAAGAGAUAGAUUAUGUUCUUAUUGUCA